rnacentral:rRNA from 1 species
CUACGGGCUGCUGCAGUGAGGAAUAUUGCACAAUGGGGGGAACCCCGAUGCAGCAACGCCGCGUGGAGGAUGACGCAUUUCGGUGUGUAAACUCCUUUUAUAUGUCAAGAAAAUGACGGUAGCAUAUGAAUAAGCACCGGCUAACUCCGUGCCAGCAGCCGCGGUAAUACGGAGGGUGCAAGCGUUACUCGGAAUCACUGGGCGUAAAGGACGCGUAGGCGGGUUGGAAAGUCAGGUGUGAAAUCCUACAGCUUAACUGUAGAACUGCACUUGAAACUUCUAAUCUAGAGUAUGGGAGGGGGAGAUGGAAUUAGUGGUGUAGGGGUAAAAUCCGUAGAUAUCACUAGGAAUACCUAAAGCGAAGGCGAUCUCCUAGAACAUUAUUGACGCUGAGACGCGAAAGCGUGGGGAGCAAACAGGAUUAGAUACCCGUGUAGUC